rnacentral:rRNA from 1 species
UACGUAGGGCGCAAGCGUUGUCCGGAAUUAUUGGGCGUAAAGCGCUCGUAGGCGGCCUGUUGCGUCCGCUGUGAAAUCCUAGGGCUUAACCCUGGGCUUGCAGUGGAUACGGGCAGACUAGAGGUAGGUAGGGGAGAAUGGAAUUCCUGGUGUAGCGGUGAAAUGCGCAGAUAUCAGGAGGAACACCGGUGGCGAAGGCGGUUCUCUGGGCCUUACCUGACACUGAGGAGCGAAAGCGUGGGGAGCGAACAGG